rnacentral:rRNA from 1 species
CCUACGGGCGGGCUGCAGUGAGGAAUAUUGGUCAAUGGGCGCGAUCCUGAACCAGCCAAGUAGCGUGAAGGAUGACUGCCCUACGGGUUGUAAACUUCUUUUAUAAAGGAAUAAAGUGAGGCACGUGUGCCUUUUUGUCUGUACUUUAUGACUAAGGAUCGGCUAACUCCGUGCCAGCAGCCGCGGUAAUACGGAGGAUCCGAGCGUUAGCCGGAUUUAUUGGGUUUAAAGGGAGAGUAGAUGGGUUGUUAAGUCCGUUGUGAAAGUUUGCGGCUCAACCGUAAAAUUGCAAUUGAUACUGGCAGACUGGAGUACAGUUGCGGGAGGCGGAAGUCGUGGUGGAGCGGUGGAAUGCUUAGAUAUUACGAAGAACUCCGAUUGCGAAGGCAGCCUACUAAACUGCCACUGACAUGGAUGCUCGAAAGUGUGGGUAUCAAACAGGAUUAGAUACCCCAGUAGUC